AUUGAACGCUGGCGGCAUGCUUUACACAUGCAAGUCGAACGGUAACAGGUUAAGCUGACGAGUGGCGAACGGGUGAGUAAUGCAUCGGAACGUGCCCGAUCGUGGGGGAUAACGCAGCGAAAGCUGCGCUAAUACCGCAUACGAUCUGAGGAUGAAAGCGGGGGACCGUAAGGCCUCGCGCGAUCGGAGCGGCCGAUGUCAGAUUAGGUAGUUGGUGGGGUAAAGGCUCACCAAGCCAACGAUCUGUAGCUGGUCUGAGAGGACGACCAGCCACACUGGGACUGAGACACGGCCCAGACUCCUACGGGAGGCAGCAGUGGGGAAUUUUGGACAAUGGGCGAAAGCCUGAUCCAGCAAUGCCGCGUGCAGGAAGAAGUCCUUCGGGUUGUAAACUGCUUUUGUACGGAGCGAAAAGGUUCUCUCUAAUACAGAGGGCUCAUGACGGUACCGUAAGAAUAAGCACCGGCUAACUACGUGCCAGCCGCCGCCGUAA
rnacentral:rRNA from 1 species